rnacentral:misc_RNA from 1 species
UAUUUUAGAGACAUUCGAAGACUAGUAGAAAUUUUUCAAAGGAGCUUUCAAAGGCCAUUAUAAGCUUUUAAAAACUUUUGGAUGCUUUCACAGUUCUUCAGAGGUUUCCAGAACUUCUUCAAAAAUUUUCAGAGUUCUCGGGAGCUUCCAAAAUGCUUCAGAAAUUUUCAGAAUUUUUCCAACGAUUUCCAGAUGCCUUGGUAGCUUUCAGGAUCCUUCACAGGCUUUCAGAGGCCUUCGAAAGUUUCACGAUCCUUCCGAAACCUUCACAGAAGCUUGUGCUAUCUUUCCUGAGUCUCGAAACCUAGGGAUCUUCCUUGGUGAUUUUCUAGGUAUCUUCGUAGGUACCUUCAGAGGGAAUUCCAGAAGAAGCUUUUGAACAAAUUUCAGAUGCUGUUGGAAAUGUUCAAAGUCCUUCACAGAUAUGUAGGCAGCUUUCAAAGACCUUCAGUGGCUUUCGGACAGCAUGUGCACGCGCGGAUCGUUUGGAAAUCUGCCACACACGUGAUCCCGUGCUCAUCGCAAGCCAGGAAUGCAAAGUAACGCUUCACGGACGCUCCGCGCUGGUUUCCAACUAAUUACUGCGAGAAGAAGCUUGGCUUUCGCACUUGUUGCUCCUCUCUCUCUUUUUCUUUCUUCAUUUCUCUAUUAUUCCAGCAGUAACACAAUAAAGAGAUGAUUAGGUAGAAGAUGUACGACCAUCAGCGUCAUUGAUUAGCUUAUCAAAUCGGAAUUUCGUUAUUGCGUUGCUUCGUGGCCGGAGAAAGUUCAUUUGAAUGAAUCUUGCAAGAAACCGAUAAGGAAACGAUAGAUCGCAGUUUCACGGGGCACCAGCUUUGCGUAACGGAAUAAUUAUCAUUGCUUUCGUCGUUUGAAACGAAACUGUGCAAAAAACUGUGUCCUAUUCGCAAGAGUCUCAACUGCAACUGUUAAACGAAACAAUUGCUUUUUGUCUUAACAACACUGUUUUUCUUUUUCAAUAUCUCUACGCUUCGUACCCUGCUUUUAUAUUUCUACUUUUUAAGUAACGAGAAGAGAAAUUCGUUGUAACGUAUUUUGUAAAUAAAAUUAGAGAUUAGUCAUCAAAUAGCAUUAUUGGUUUACAGAUGGCUGUAAUAAUUUAUGUUUGAUUAUUAAAAUUUAAGGUAUUUCAUUUCACUUUGUAUUUUAUAUUCUCCGUAGUAAAUAGUGUUAUUGUAGAAAUUAUGUACUGUUGUAACGUUGAUACAGUUGAUAGAAGAAAUUCAAAGCAGAAAGAUAAGAAUUAAAUAAAAUAAAUAAAUGAAAUUAAUGAAAUAAA